rnacentral:rRNA from 1 species
UACAGAGGUCCCAAGCGUUGUUCGGAUUCACUGGGCGUAAAGGGUGCGUAGGUGGCGGGGUAAGUUGCGUGUUAAAUCUCAAGGCUUAACCUUGAAACCGCUCGCAAUACUGCUCUGCUCGAGGACUGUAGAGGAGAAUGGAAUUCACGGUGUAGCAGUGAAAUGCGUAGAUAUCGUGAGGAAGACCAGUGGCGAAGGCGAUUCUCUGGGCAGUUCCUGACACUGAGGCACGAAGGCCAGGGGAGCAAACGGG